rnacentral:rRNA from 1 species
UACGGAGGGAGCUAGCGUUGUUCGGAAUUACUGGGCGUAAAGCGCGCGUAGGCGGAUUGUUAAGUCAGGGGUGAAAUCCUGGAGCUCAACUCCAGAACUGCCUUUGAUACUGGCGAUCUCGAGUCCGGGAGAGGUGAGUGGAACUGCGAGUGUAGAGGUGAAAUUCGUAGAUAUUCGCAAGAACACCAGUGGCGAAGGCGGCUCACUGGCCCGGUACUGACGCUGAGGUGCGAAAGCGUGGGGAGCAAACAGG